rnacentral:rRNA from 1 species
UUGACCUGAACUCACUCGAGAGCACCCGCUGAACUUAAUCAUAUCAGUAAAGCGGAAAAGAAACUAAAUAGGAAUUCCCCUUAGUAACGGCGAGUGAAA